UCCCAAACCCCUGUGACAUACCUAUACGUUGCCUCGGCGGAUCAGCCCGCGCCCUGUAAAAAGGGACGGCCCGCCCGAGGACCCUAAACUCUGUUUUUAGUGGAACUUCUGAGUAAAACAAACAAAUAAAUCAAAACUUUCAACAACGGAUCUCUUGGUUCUGGCAUCGAUGAAGAACGCAGCAAAAUGCGAUAAGUAAUGUGAAUUGCAGAAUUCAGUGAAUCAUCGAAUCUUUGAACGCACAUUGCGCCCGCCAGUAUUCUGGCGGGCAUGCCUGUUCGAGCGUCAUUUCAACCCUCAAGCUCAGCUUGGUGUUGGGACUCGCGGUAACCCGCGUUCCCCAAAUCGAUUGGCGGUCACGUCGAGCUUCCAUAGCGUAGUAAUCAUACACCUCGUUACUGGUAAUCGUCGCGGCCACGCCGUAAAACCCCAACUUCUGAAUGUUGACCUCGGAUCAGGUAGGAAUACCCGCUGAACUUAAGCAUAUCAAUAAGCCGGAGGAA
rnacentral:rRNA from 1 species